GAUGAAGAACGUAGCGAAAUGCGAUAAGUAAUGUGAAUUGCAGAAUUCAGUGAAUCAUCGAAUCUUUGAACGCACAUUGCGCCCCCUGGUAUUCCGGGGGGCAUGCCUGUUCGAGCGUCAUUUCACCACUCAAGCCUCGCUUGGUAUUGGGCAACGCGGUCCGCCGCGUGCCUCAAAUCGUCCGGCUGGGUCUUCUGUCCCCUAAGCGUUGUGGAAACUAUUCGCUAAAGGGUGUUCGGGAGGCUACGCCGUAAAACAACCCCAUUUCUAAGGUUGAGCUCGGAUCAGGUAGGGAUACCCGCUGAACUUAAGCAUAUCAAUAAGCGGAGGA
rnacentral:misc_RNA from 1 species